rnacentral:rRNA from 1 species
AGUCGAGGGGUAUAGUAGCAAUACUAGAGACCGGCGCACGGGUGCGUAACGCGUAUGCAAUCUACCUUUUGCAGAGGGAUAGCCCAGAGAAAUUUGGAUUAAUACCUCAUAGUAUAGUACAGCCGCAUGGUUGAACUAUUAAAGUUACAACGGCAAAAGAUGAGCAUGCGUCCCAUUAGCUAGUUGGUAAGGUAACGGCUUACCAAGGCCGCGAUGGGUAGGGGUCCUGAGAGGGAGAUCCCCCACACUGGUACUGAGACACGGACCAGACUCCUACGGGAGGCAGCAGUGAGGAAUAUUGGUCAAUGGGCGCAAGCCUGAACCAGCCAUGCCGCGUGCAGGAUGACGGUCCUAUGGAUUGUAAACUGCUUUUGUACAGGAAGAAACCCUACUUCGUGAAGUAGCUUGACGGUACUGUAAGAAUAAGGAUCGGCUAACUCCGUGCCAGCAGCCGCGGUAAUACGGAGGAUCCAAGCGUUAUCCGGAAUCAUUGGGUUUAAAGGGUCCGUAGGCGGUUUAGUAAGUCAGUGGUGAAAUCCCAUCGCUCAACGGUGGAACGGCCAUUGAUACUGCUGAACUUGAAUCAUUAGGAAGUAACUAGAAUAUGUAGUGUAGCGGUGAAAU